rnacentral:ncRNA from 2 species
CAAAAUGCACAGACAGGGAAGAGUACAAUGCCAACCUGCUUUACAGAGAGGGAAAUUUGCCAGCUGAAAGAUUUCCCAUGCAGCCCAUUGGAACGUCACCCUCGAGCAUCUUCCGCCAAAGGCGCGUGCCCGGUAGUGGAAGACGGAUCAAAUCCGUUAUCCGAUUUAAGAGCCGGCAUUUUUUCGCCGGAAAAAAGGUGGUACCGCGAGCGCACUCCAUUCGUCCUUUUA